GCACAGCGGAAAAGAGAGUGACAGAGCAUAGUCCACACGGAAGGCAGAAAAUAAAAGGAAAUCAGAAGGCAGCGAGGCUGCCAGAAAGAAAGAAAGAAAAAAAUAUAAAAAAGGAAGGAAGUAGCGGGAGAAGGGAGUAGAGGGGGGAGCUGCCCUUUGGCAGCUCGCAGACGUGGAGAACGGGAAGAGAGAGGACAGCAGUGGGCUGUCUUGGCAGCCCAGAGGGCAGUGAGCCUCGGGGAGAAAACAGAGAAGCAAAGCUGCCUUUGCAGCUGGGUAGAGAGCAAGCACAGAAAAACUGUGCGGAACGUCAGCAAGUCAGAGGAAGAGAGGGAGGUGAGGACAGCCAAGAGAGUUCAGAGGAAAGAACAUAUAAAAAAACUGCUUUGCGCAGCGUGACAGGGGAGGGCAGUGAGCCUCGGGGAGGAAGACAGACAGAAGCAGCAAGCACUCUCCUCUCUCGGUUAAAUCUUUCCCACUUAUAUUUUACUUUUGGUUUAUUUGUGUUUUAAUAAUGUGUAACUAAUUUUAUUUUGGCUAGAGGUUAAUUCAAAGCCAUGAAUAUAUUUGUAAUAUGAAUUGAUUACCUUCGGUUGUGAUUUCAUAAGUUGUGAUUUCAAUUUACUUAUCCGUUCGUAUAAAAACUGAUUUGUGUAUGUUAGUUGAGAGUGCACGCUUAAUUUACAUGCAUGAAUUUGAUGCUAGAAUAUAAGUGAAUUUCACCUAAUCGUUAUGAACUUAUUUUCACAAGUAGUAAAGGUUGCUAGUCACAAUCACGUUAAGUAAAUUCUUG
rnacentral:lncRNA from 1 species